rnacentral:rRNA from 1 species
AAUCCAUAGGUUAAUGAGGCGAACCGGGGGAACUGAAACAUCUAAGUACCCCGAGGAAAAGAAAUCAACCGAGAUUCCCCCAGUAGCGGCGAGCGAACGGGGAGGAGCCCAGAGCCUGAAUCAGCAUGUGUGUUAGUGGAAGCGUCUGGAAAGGCGCGCGAUACAGGGUGACAGCCCCGUACACAAAAGCGCAUGUGCUGUGAGCUCGAUGAGUAGGGCGGGACACGUGGUAUCCUGUCUGAAUAUGGGGGGACCAUCCUCCAAGGCUAAAUACUCCUGACUGACCGAUAGUGAACCAGUACCGUGAGGGAAAGGCGAAAAGAACCCCGGCGAGGGGAGUGAAAAAGAACCUGAAACCGUGUACGUACAAGCAGUGGGAGCCCCACCACCAAAGCAUUCUCUGGUGUUGAAGGCCCUGCAAAGCA